GAUUCAUCAAUUCAAUCAAUUUUUCAUCAAACAGUAACAAACAUCAAACCAGAAUAAUGUUUUCAUUCUUAGCCAUUUUCCCAAUUCUUUUCGCCCUUUCAGCUUCAACUCCUUUGGCUGAUUUGUUGGAUUCCAAGUCAAAUGCUGGUUACAAUAUCCAUGCUGUAUUGGUUGCUGGGUCAAAUGAAUACUACAACUAUCGUCAUCAAGCCGAUGUUUGCCAUGCCUAUCAGGUCCUAAGAAAUCAUGGUGUUCCUGCCGAAAACAUUAUUGUCAUGAUGUACGACGAUAUCGCCAAUGAUCCUGAGAAUCCUUACCCUGGUAAAAUAUUCAAUGCUCCUAAUGGCUCUGAUGUUUAUGCUGGUGUAUCAAAAGAUUACACUGGUGAUGAAGUAACUCCUGCAAACUUCCUUGGUGUACUCAAAGGUGACAAGGCUCUUGCUGCAAAGGGUAAGAAAGUACUCACUUCUGGACCCAAUGACCAUGUUUUCAUUUACUACGCUGAUCACGGAGCUGUUGGCCUUGUUGGUUUCCCAUCUGACACCCUUUCUUCAGAUGAUUUGAACAAAGCUUUGGUCUACAUGCAUGACAAUAAGUUGUAUGGUAAACUUACAUUUUAUUUGGAAGCUUGUGAAUCUGGUUCAAUGUUUGAAAACAUUUUACCCAGUAACAUAAACAUUUACGCUACUACUGCUGCCAACUCUGAAGAAUCAAGUUAUGGAUGUUAUUGUGAUGACGAAAAAAUUGGUACCUGUCUUGGUGAUGAAUAUUCAGUUGCUUGGCUUGAAGACUCUGACUCUCAUGACAUAACCAAAGAAACAUUGGAACAACAAUUCACAGAUGUUGUGAAACACACUCCGAGCUCACAUCCACAAGAAUUUGGUCAAAAGUCUUUGGCCAGUCUAGAUGUUAGUCAAUUCCAAGGUGAAAAGGCUGGUAAGAUUCGCGUUCCAAGAAGACAUCCAAAGAGUUCCGUAAACGCUAGAGAUAUUCCUUUAGUUAUGCUUAAGCGUAAAAUUAAGCGAACAAAUGACGCCGCUGAAGCUGCUGUUCAUGCUAAAAAAUUACAUACUUUGAUUGCUGGUCGACGAUUCCUUGAAUCAGGCAUCAAAAAGAUCGUCUCUCAACUCUGCUCCGAUGGUUACUGUUCAGAUGCCAAGCAAGUCAUGUCAACUCGACGACCAUUAGUCAAUCAUUCAACAUACUCAAAAGUAGCCAAAAAGUUCCAAUCAAGUUGCCUUAACUUGGGUAUCCACACUCAUGGAAUGAAAUUCAUGUAUGCUUUUGCCAAUCUUGUUGAAUCAAACAACUUCAAUGAGUCAACAUUGAACCGUUUCUUGGAAGAUUUGGAACGAGCUUGUAACAAUCACAUCGUUGACCAUGGAUUCAAAGCUAUUGUCUAAAUGAAAAAAUGGAUAAAAUCUAUGAUAAAAUGAAUUAACAACGAGAGGCGUUGGAACAAGUGUUCAGCAAAUCUGUUUUUUUUUGCUAUCACCAUUGGAUGAGAAAAAUGAGCAAAUGUUAACGUUAAAUUUUUCCAUCCAAGCAAUAAAUAUUAAAAAACUAUUUCAAUUA